rnacentral:rRNA from 1 species
GAUGAACGCUGGCGGCGUGCCUAACACAUGCAAGUCGAACGGGGGCAGAUUGAAACCUAGUGAUAUCUGCCCGAGUGGCGGACGGGUGAGUAACGCGUGGACAACCUGCCGUAUGCAGGGGGAUACCAGCUGGAAACAGCUGCUAAUACCGCAUAUGCGCACAGGGCCGCAUGGCCUGGUGCGGAAAGGAGCAAUCCGGCAUACGAUGGGUCCGCGUCCGAUUAGCUAGUUGGCGGGGCAGCGGCCCACCAAGGCGACGAUCGGUAGCCGGCCUGAGAGGGCGGACGGCCACAUUGGGACUGAGACACGGCCCAG